GACGAACGCUGGCGGCGUGCUUAACACAUGCAAGUCGAACGGAAAGGCCCUGCUUUUGUGGGGUGCUCGAGUGGCGAACGGGUGAGUAACACGUGAGUAACCUGCCCUUGACUUUGGGAUAACUUCAGGAAACUGGGGCUAAUACCGGAUAGGAGCUCCUGCUGCAUGGUGGGGGUUGGAAAGUUUCGGCGGUUGGGGAUGGACUCGCGGCUUAUCAGCUUGUUGGUGGGGUAGUGGCUUACCAAGGCUUUGACGGGUAGCCGGCCUGAGAGGGUGACCGGCCACAUUGGGACUGAGAUACGGCCCAGACUCCUACGGGAGGCAGCAGUGGGGAAUAUUGCACAAUGGGCGGAAGCCUGAUGCAGCAACGCCGCGUGCGGGAUGACGGCCUUCGGGUUGUAAACCGCUUUCGCCUGUGACGAAGCGUGAGUGACGGUAAUGGGUAAAGAAGCACCGGCUAACUACGUGCCAGCAGCCGCGGUGAUACGUAGGGUGCGAGCGUUGUCCGGAUUUAUUGGGCGUAAGGGGCUCGUAGGUGGUUGAUCGCGUCGGAAGUGUAAUCUUGGGGCUUAACCCUGAGCGUGCUUUCGAUACGGGUUGACUUGAGGAAGGUAGGGGAGAAUGGAAUUCCUGGUGGAGCGGUGGAAUGCGCAGAUAUCAGGAGGAACACCAGUGGCGAAGGCGGUUCUCUGGGCCUUUCCUGACGCUGAGGAGCGAAAGCGUGGGGAGCGAACAGGCUUAGAUACCCUGGUAGUCCACGCUGUAAACGGUGGGUACUAGGUGUGGGGUCCAUUCCACGGGUUCCGUGCCGUAGCUAACGCUUUAAGUACCCCGCCUGGGGAGUACGGCCGCAAGGCUAAAACUCAAAGGAAUUGACGGGGCCCCGCACAAGCGGCGGAGCAUGCGGAUUAAUUCGAUGCAACGCGUAGAACCUUACCUGGGUUUGACAUGGAUCGGGAGUGCUCAGAGAUGGGUGUGCCUCUUUUGGGGUCGGUUCACAGGUGGUGCAUGCCUGUCGUCAGCUCGUGUCGUGAGAUGUUGGGUUAAGUCCCGCAACGAGCGCAACCCUUGUUCACUGUUGCCAGCACGUUAUGGUGGGGACUCAGUGGAGACCGCCGGGGUCAACUCGGAGGAAGGUGGGGAUGACGUCAAGUCCUCAUGCCCCUUAUGUCCAGGGCUUCACGCAUGCUACAAUGGCUGGUACAGAGAGUGGCGAGCCUGUGAGGGUGAGCGAAUCUCGGAAAGCCGGUCUCAGUUCGGAUUGGGGUCUGCAACUCGACCUCAUGAAGUCGGAGUCGCUAGUAAUCGCAGAUCAGCAACGCUGCGGUGAAUACGUUCCCGGG
rnacentral:rRNA from 1 species